GCCGGGCGUGGUGGUGCACGCUUGUAAUCCCAGCUACUCAGGAGGCUGAGGCAGAAGAAUCGCUUGAACUCGGGAGGCGGAGAUUGCAGUGAACUGAGACUGUGCCACUGCACUCCAGCCUGGGUGACAGAGCGAUACUCUGUCUCAA
ensembl:misc_RNA Metazoa_SRP Metazoan signal recognition particle RNA